GGCUCACCAAGGCGACGAUCCGUAACUGGUCUGAGAGGAUGAUCAGUCACACUGGAACUGAGACACGGUCCAGACUCCUACGGGAGGCAGCAGUGGGGAAUAUUGGACAAUGGGCGAAAGCCUGAUCCAGCCAUGCCGCGUGUGUGAAGAAGGUCUUCGGAUUGUAAAGCACUUUAAGUUGGGAGGAAGGGCAGUAAGCGAAUACCUUGCUGUUUUGACGUUACCGACAGAAUAAGCACCGGCUAACUCUGUGCCAGCAGCCGCGGUAAUACAGAGGGUGCAAGCGUUAAUCGGAAUUACUGGGCGUAAAGCGCGCGUAGGUGGUUUGUUAAGUUGGAUGUGAAAGCCCCGGGCUCAACCUGGGAACUGCAUCCAAAACUGGCAAGCUAGAGUACAGUAGAGGGUGGUGGAAUUUCCUGUGUAGCGGUGAAAUGCGUAGAUAUAGGAAGGAACACCAGUGGCGAAGGCGACCACCUGGACUGAUACUGACACUGAGGUGCGAAAGCGUGGGGAGCAAACAGG
rnacentral:rRNA from 1 species